GACGAACGCUGGCGGCGUGCUUAACACAUGCAAGUCGAACGGAAAGGCCCUGCUUUUGUGGGGUGCUCGAGUGGCGAACGGGUGAGUAACACGUGAGUAACCUGCCCUUGACUUUGGGAUAACUUCAGGAAACUGGGGCUAAUACCGGAUAGGAGCUCCUGCUGCAUGGUGGGGGUUGGAAAGUUUCGGCGGUUGGGGGUGGACUCGCGGCUUAUCAGCUUGUUGGUGGGGUAGUGGCUUACCAAGGCUUUGACGGGUAGCCGGCCUGAGAGGGUGACCGGCCACAUUGGGACUGAGAUACGACCCAGACUCCUACGGGAGGCAGCAGUGGGGAAUAUUGCACAAUGGGCGGAAGCCUGAUGCAGCAACGCCGCGUGCGGGAUGACGGCCUUCGGGUUGUAAACCGCUUUCGCCUGUGACGAAGCGUGAGUGACGGUAAUGGGUAAAGAAGCACCGGCUAACUACGUG
rnacentral:rRNA from 1 species